ensembl:lncRNA
CGGGGCCCAGAGGCAUCAGCCAGGGGGUGCGGGGGUGACAGGCUGGCGGGGUACUGGGGAGACCUUACAAAGCUGGCUGGGGAGCGUCCCACCCCCACUGCAGCCCUGCCCCCGACCAGCGCUCCCCAGCAUGUGCCCUUCUAUUCCCUCAUCCGGCCCAGCACCCCCCUCAGAGACCCCCUCUCAACCCCCAAGCCCUGAGGAUGCCUUCCCUAGCCGCCCUCCAUCCCCCGGGGGCCCAGCAUCCCCAGCUGUGGGGGACCCCGCCUCCCUUGGGCCUGGACCCUGGUGUCUCCUUGCUCCGUCUUCCUUAUCAGUCGUCUGUCUGCUGACUGCCAGGCCACAGGCCUCCAGCCAGACGUGCCCUUGCCAGCAAGUGGCCUGAAAGGGCCAUUGUCCCGAGGGGCUCGGCAAGGGCGUGGAGACCCGUCUGCUGUCAGCCAGCCACGAGGUCAGACCCAAGGACCGAGGACCAAGGACGGGGCCGAGCCAGUCUCAGGAGGCUCCCCAGGGCCAGCGGUGCCGGGACAGCCAGGGGGCCCCAGGGGCAGUGCCCAAGCAAGGCCUGGACUCCGCGGCCACCUUCUCUGCGCGUGGUCCUCCUCCCGCGUGGCGAGUCCAGGGCCCCGGAGCCUCUGGUCCAGCUGAGCUGCAGGAGGGGCUUCCCGCGGCCGCCCAGCGUCAGUCAGUCCCCGUGUCCUCCUCCUCGUGUCUCUGUCUCCGGGCAUGUCUCCCCCUCUGCACCCGCCCCUGUCCUGCCCCCAGUGCCCGGCCCCCGCAGCAGUCAGGCUGCUGGGCCAUCAGAGGACAAGGGGUGUCCAGGGGCACCACGCCGCAGCGGGCACCGGGUCACCUGCCGAGGGCCCCCGCAGCUGGGCGCUGCCCCUGGGGGGUGGGUGCCUGCGCGGGUCUUCUCCCCGGACUGUUCUUUGAUGUCGUAGCUGAGCUCCCAGGGCACACCUGGGCACAAGGGUUGCCUCCCAGCAGGUCCCUCCUGGAGGAAAGAGCUGUCCCUUCAGCAGCUGCCUCCGGAAAUAACGAGAAAUCUUUUGUGUACAACUGAUGAGCUUGCAAUCUUCCAUAAAGUGGCCCAGAACGUACUUAGGAAACUUCCAGUGGACGUUCCAAGGGAAGACCGCUCAGUGUGACGCGGCCGCUGCCCAGCCCCGGGCAGGCAGACUCUCCCUGGCUCUGUCACCAAGUGAAGGCCCAGAUGGAGUCCCCUGGUGUGGCUGACCAGGUGACCUGUCCAGGCUGUGCCUCCUAAGAGGUCGGUAAUGCUCUUCCUGCUUCUCAUCUGCCCGGGGUCUCUGCUCCCAAGUCCACGCUUUAGCCGCCUGUUUCAGCUGUGAGCGAUCCCACUAUCCUUCCCACCUGACUGAUGGUGAGAACAGCCCUGGUUGCUGUCACCUAAAGCUGACUGAAGACAUUUGGCCGACACAGGACCCACCAAGAUAAAACUGACAGGGUUGGGACUUGAGAUUCCACUUGGAGGAACCUGUAGUCCAGGUUAUACCCACCCACCCACCCAUCUGUCCAUUCAUCCACCUACCCGCGCAUCCAUCUGUCCAUUUAUUCCCUCAUCCAUCCUUACCUAUCUAUUCCUACCUCUGCCACUCACCUUCCUGAACAGGCCGCUAACGAUAUUCCAGGCCUGGUACUAGGCACCGAGACCACCAUGGUACACAAGUCCUUCCAUUAGUCUUGAUCUAGGGGAAGACACAACAACACGUAAGUCCAGGGGGCUCUGGGUCCAUAGAACCCCUUCCCGGGGGAAGGAGCGGGCCAGGGAGGCCUCCGGGGGGAGACUGCAGCUUCCAGAUGGGUAGGGAAGGCAGGCCUGCGGGGCAGAAGCCAGGAAAGUCUUGGUUUCUUCAAGGUGCACGGCCCGAGGAGGCCAGAGAACAGAGCCGGGGGCCAGGAGGAGGGCUCGGAGCUGUGGGCCUGACGUGAUGGGGCUCACUCUACCCAUGGGAGACGCAUGAGCAGUCCUGUGUUUUGGUGGCUGUGGCUGUUGCACUAGGGGUGGGGCUCUGAAGGGACGGGGCACACCAACCAGCUAGGACACCCCAACACCCAACUCCAAGAGACUUCCUGAGGUCCAGCAGGAGCCUUUCCUCUGGCCCCGGGCUUUCCUUCUCCCGGCCACCCUCCCAACCCUCCAGCCACGACUGGCAUUUCAGCAAAAGUCUCCUGACAAACACGAUUGGUUUCACAGAUGAGCGUCCGGGGGUGCAGCAGGGGCCCCAAACCCAGAAGGGCCCUGUGCUUUAUUGUUGUCUUGAAAUUCUGAAUAAGAAAGAAAGAAGAAAGAAAGAAAGAAAGAAAGAAAGAAAGAAAGAAAGAAAGAAAGAAAGAAAGGAGGGAAGGAAGGAAGGAAGGAAGGAAGGAAGGAAGGAAGGAAGGAAGGAAGGAAGGAAGGAAGAAAAGAAAAAAUUAAUUCUGAAUAAAUUCCCCUUUUAGCCUGGGUUUGGUGCA